rnacentral:rRNA from 1 species
GACGAACGCUGGCGGCGUGCCUAAUACAUGCAAGUUGAGCGCUGAAGGUUGGUACUUGUACCAACUGGAUGAGCAGCGAACGGGUGAGUAACGCGUGGGGAAUCUGCCUUUGAGCGGGGGACAACAUUUGGAAACGAAUGCUAAUACCGCAUAAAAACUUUAAACACAAGUUUUAAGUUUGAAAGAUGCAAUUGCAUCACUCAAAGAUGAUCCCGCGUUGUAUUAGCUAGUUGGUGAGGUAAAGGCUCACCAAGGCGAUGAUACAUAGCCGACCUGAGUGGGUGAUCGGCCACAUUGGGACUGAGACACGGCCCAAACUCCUACGGGAGGCAGCAGUAGGGAAUCUUCGGAAAGGGACGAAAGUCUGACCGAGCAACGCCGCGUGAGUGAAGAAGGGUUUCGGAUCGUAAAACUCUGUUGGUAGAGAAGAACGUUGGUGAGAGUGGAAAGCUCAUCAAGUGACGGUAACUACCCAGAAAGGGACGGCUAACUACGUG